AUACUUAACUGCAGGAAAGAUACCAUGAUCAUAAAUGUGAUUUUUCUGAGGCCAGGCUUGUCCAUUGCACUCAGCAUAUGUUGAGUGACCUGUGUGAUUUCCCCAAAUGUGGGAAAGUUGACUGUAUAAUUUAUGGUAGUGGGCGACUGUUUUUGUGAUCUCUCU